rnacentral:lncRNA from 1 species
AAAUAUUUAUUAGAAACGAAAUAAGGUUUAUACAACUCCAAGAAUAGAAAUCAAAAAUAUAAAACCCUUGGCCCUUUAUUAGGGCUGCAUCCGACCCUAGUGAGAAGAUCAGCCCUGCAUGGAAUUGGAGACGGUAGCAGCAGCACAGCAGCGAGCUCCCAUCUCUCCCUCUUGCGAUUCUCUUGAGAACGGCUCCUUCUUAACUCUUAUGGGAAGUCAUUCCCAAAAUAACCAAAACUCUUCUCUUCCUUCUCUGUAUCCGUGGGACUCCGCUUCUCCCCUGUUCCGAAGAGAUCCUGGAACUCGACCCCCAAAGCUUGCCUUCCCCGGUUGCACGUCUGGGUUUUUAUAGGCUGCAACAUCUCUCUCUUCUUCCGCGUUUCACGUUGCGAUAAGGAUAGAGGAACGGUUUCUGUUUCACGGCAGCGGGCGACGUGAGCGUUAGGAAGAAAUGCUUGAUUUUUGGAAAGAUAAACUUCUGAGAUGCAGUGGAUUUAGAAGAAGCUGAGAGAUGCGGAUGUUGGGUUCGGUUGAAUACGUGGACAAAGACAGAUUACGAUGGGAUGAGAGUUGAAUCUAUUGGAUGCAGGGGAUGCCGUGAAGCUCGGUGUGCUUUGAUUGAAUUUUAUCCCAUGGAUGUUGGAAGCUGCGAACGGAAGGAUAGUUGGAUUGAAUCAGAAGAGGAUAUCCAGAAGAUAAUCUAUGGAAUAAAUCUAGAAACGUUGGGAGGAAAGCUGGAACUCAUUGGAUUCAUCUCGGUUGGGUGGACUGUUAACAUUCUGUUCUGAAGCAGGGGAAUCUGAAAGGGAAUUUGAUUGCUGGGAGCUUAUCCGUGGAGGGGGAAGCGGUUGUUUUGAUUUGUGAUGAAGAGGAGAUGAUUUAGGAGUAGGGGAUGUGAAGGAAUCGGCUGAUUAGUUGCCAUUUGUUGGGAGUUUUGCUCUUCACAGCUGAAACAGGGGAUUCAGUUCGAAUGGGAUGAGGGCUGGUUGGUUGAUCUUGUUUGGGAGGAUCUCGGAAGAGAAUGAGAGCUUGAAGAUCUGGGAUUAAUCCAGAAAACUGUUUGGUUGACGAUGACGUUGGGAUCAUUUGGUUAUGCUGCCGUUGCUGAGGUUGUUUGGAUGAUGAUAGGAAGGCUGGGAGCUAGCGGAAUCUAGUUGGGAGGAAUGGGAAAUGCUUGGCUUGGACGCUGGGACUUGGCUGGGAGGAGCUGGAUCUUAUCGUGGGUCACGGGAGGAUGAAGCUGAGGAAGCUGGGGAGCAGGGGAUCUUUGGAUAAGGCUUGGGAUUUGUUGAUAAAUACUGAACGGUAAUGAAGGGGAUAUGAGAAGUUAAGUUGUUUUGUCAACGGAGAGGAGCUGCGGGUUGUGUUUAGAGAUGGAAUAAGGAUGGGUUGAGGCUUUGAGAUCCGUGCAAUUAGAUGAUAUAAGAAACAAAUAAUUGAAGAGAUUUUAUUAAAAUCGGAUCAUGUGGAAAAAGAGUUGGGUGACUGAAUCAGAGGGUCUUGAUUUGCGGGGUGCAUAUGAUUUGGAUUCAGGGAUCAUCCCAAAUAAGUUUGACUUGACCUGCAUUCAUUAGGCUUAAUCAUUAAAUAAUUAAAUCAACUCGAA